UACGAAGGGGGCUAGCGUUGCUCGGAAUCACUGGGCGUAAAGCGCACGUAGGCGGAUUGCUAAGUCAGGGGUGAAAUCCUGGAGCUCAACUCCAGAACUGCCUUUGAUACUGGCGAUCUCGAGUCCGGGAGAGGUGAGUGGAACUGCGAGUGUAGAGGUGAAAUUCGUAGAUAUUCGCAAGAACACCAGUGGCGAAAGGCGGCUCACUGGCCCGGUACUGACGCUGAGGUGCGAAAGCGUGGGGAGCAAACAGGG
rnacentral:rRNA from 1 species